AAAUUUCAUACACUUUCUCUUGACCCCUUAAUAAGGAUAAAAACAAGAAGAAAUGUAAAGACAGAGGCCUACUUCAUCAUGUAUACAUUCCCCACUGCAUGCUAAGACCAUCAUAUUUUAUUCUUUUAUAUAUUUUUCAAAUUCCAUUAUGUUCUAUAAUAUCUGUAUAAUUAUUAGAUACUGAUUUUAAACAUCUCUGGUGAUUUGUAUUCGUUUAUCUAAAUUGAUGACAACGAUAAUGGGCACUGGCCAUGAUUGCAUUAUUGACAGAUCCUCUCUUUAGUCAGACAUGACUGAAGCGACUUAGCACAUGCACUCUCUUUAGAUCAAGGACUCCUGAUUGAACAGCCUGUUACUGACACCAAGAGUACCAGGAACUUGCUCCCUGAUGUGCAUAAGAGCUGAGUUUCCAGAGCACCUAGAGCUGAGAGUUGGCUGGCUGGCUGGAACAGAACCCCUAAGAGGUUUCAGGAGGAAAAUGCCUGGCCCACUCUCUUAAUAAAUU
rnacentral:lncRNA from 1 species